rnacentral:rRNA from 1 species
UACGUAGGGGGCGAGCAUUGUCCGGAUUUAUUGGGCGUAAAGAGCUCGUAGGCGGUUUGGUAAGUCGGGUGUGAAAUCUCCACGCUCAACGUGGAGGGGCCACUCGAUACUGCCAUGACUCGAGUCCGGUAGAGGAGUGUGGAAUUCCCGGUGUAGCGGUGAAAUGCGCAGAUAUCGGGAGGAACACCCGUAGCGAAGGCGGCACUCUGGGCCGGAACUGACGCUGAGGAGCGAAAGCGUGGGGAGCAAACAGG